GCAGUUCGGCGGCGGAGGUGGAAGCGGCGCUGGAGCGGCGGGAGCCGGGGCGAGAUCGGCGGUGAGCUGGGGCGGGACUCCCGCGGCUGCCGCUCCCGACGUGCAGCCCCGGGCUGCAGAGAUACCCAGGAGCAGAUUUAGGCAGAGGCAGCAGAAAGCUGAGGCAGAGGCAGCAGAAAGCUGAGGCAGAGGCAGCAGAAAGCUGAGAACCUGGAGCUGAGGCAGCAGAGCUGGUGGAGACAUAAAGACGGACAGGGAAAAUCGUUGACUUGGGUCCAGCAAUGCCAAAUGUGUUGGGGUGUGAGCAGCCAAAGCAACAAGCUCCAGCCCCACCGACCGGCGCUGGGGGCUCCUGGUGCUGCCCGUGGGGUGGGGAGACCAGGAGUGAGAGGAAACGCAGUGCCAGAGCAGGCUGUGUUUGCCUCUGAGGACAGAGAGCCUGUGGGCUGAGAGGAAAAAUGAUUGGUAAUUGCUUCUGAUCUGUGGAGAAUCUCCUUUGGAAUGAUCAAGCAGAGAGCGUACCAAGAAAGCAGCAAAUAUAUCCUGAUAAGCCCUGAAUAUGCCAGGAGGUUUCAGCCGGGAGAAAGGAGCUGUGGAAGAAAAGCAGCCUAAAAAUAGCCAGCGGGGAUCAUCAGGUUUUCCAGCCAAGAAGAAUAAGGAGAGAGAUGAGGGAAUCAGGUUCCAAUUCCUAAUGAUUUGGUGGGUGUAGGAAUGAUUUGUGUGUGUUUUCCAGUCCCUUUUGAUUCCUGAGAUGAUUUUAAAAUGAUGGCUUUAGCAAUCAACUAAAUCGGAGAUGUUGUUUUUGAGAGGAAAUGAUGCCAAAUAAA